rnacentral:rRNA from 1 species
GUCUAUGGCCAUACCACCCUGAACGCGACCGAUCUCGUCUGAUCUUGGAAGAAAGCAGCCAGGACUCAGCUGUUCACGCCUUUAAUCCAGCUAUUCAGGAGGCUGAGAACUGAGGAUC